rnacentral:rRNA from 1 species
AUUGAACGCUGGCGGCAGGCCUGACACAUGCAAGUCGAGCGGAUGAAGGGAGCUUGCUCCUGGAUUCAGCGGCGGACGGGUGAGUAAUGCCUAGGAAUCUGCCUGGUAGUGGGGGAUAACGUCCGGAAACGGGCGCUAAUACCGCAUACGUCCUGAGGGAGAAAGUGGGGGAUCUUCGGACCUCACGCUAUCAGAUGAGCCUAGGUCAGAUUAGCUAGUUGGUGGGGUAAAGGCCUACCAAGGCGACGAUCCGUAACUGGUCUGAGAGGAUGAUCAGUCACACUGGAACUGAGACACGGUCCAGACUCCUACGGGAGGCAGCAGUGGGGAAUAUUGGACAAUGGGCGAAAGCCUGAUCCAGCCAUGCCGCGUGUGUGAAGAAGGUCUUCGGAUUGUAAAGCACUUUAAGUUGGGAGGAAGGGCAGUAAGUUAAUACCUUGCUGUUUUGACGUUACCAACAGAAUAAGCACCGGCUAACUUCGUG